GAGUGGCGGACGGGUGAGUAACACGUGGGUAACCUACCUACAAGCGGGGGAUAACAUUCGGAAACGGAUGCUAAUACCGCAUAGAUCUUUUUGUCUCCUGGCAGAAAGAAGAAAGACGGUUUCGGCUGUCACUUGUAGAUGGACCCGCGGCGCAUUAGUUAGUUGGUGAGGUAAUGGCUCACCAAGACGAUGAUGCGUAGCCGACCUGAGAGGGUGAUCGGCCACACUGGGACUGAGACACGGCCCANACUCCUACGGGAGGCAGCAGUAGGGAAUCUUCCGCAAUGGACGAAAGUCUGACGGAGCAACGCCGCGUGAGUGAAGAAGGUUUUCGGAUCGUAAAACUCUGUUGUUAGAGAAGAACAAGGAUGAGAGUAACUGCUCGUCCCUUGACGGUAUCUAACCAGAAAGCCAUGGCUAACUACGUGCCAGCAGCCGCGGUAAUACGUAGAUGGCAAGCGUUGUCCGGAUUUAUUGGGCGUAAAGCGAGCGCAGGCGGUUCUUUAAGUCUGAUGUGAAAGCCCCUGGCUCAACCAGGGAGGGUCAUUGGAAACUGGAGAACUUGAGUGCAGAAGAGGAAAGUGGAAUUCCAUGUGUAGCGGUGA
rnacentral:rRNA from 1 species